UGUUCCCCUGUGCUGCCAAUACUGGGACAAAACCUUCAGCUCAUGAAUUCACAGAACCACACGGAAUCGUGGAGUGGCUGAGGUUGGAGGCCACAUCCAGGAUGGGCUACAUCCAGGUGGCUUUUGAAAAUCUCCAAGGAGGGAGACUCCAAAACCUCCCUGGAUAAAGACUUCACAGCUCAGCAGUGGCCAUGAGGAUCCUUUACCAGCUCCUGGCUGUCCUCUUCAUGGUGCUCCAAGGGGUGGCAGGUCAGCACUUCUUCCCUAGGCCAACCGACCCUUGUGUACUCCAAAAUGGACUCUGCUUCCCGGGGAUAUGUCGGCGGCCAUAUUACUGGGUUGGAACGUGCCAUAAUGGAGGUUCCUGCUGUGUGAAGGGGUGGAGGCACUGAUGACCACAUGGAUUCUCCUUGGAAAUCCUUUCUGCAUCUACCUAGUGGCCUCUCAGUCACACUGACCCCAUCACUCCUAGUGGCACCAGGUCUUGCUCUCACAACUUUCCUUUGCACUGAAGCAAACAGCAUCUGAGAAAACAUAAAUUUGGACCAGGCCUCACCACGGAAACCGUUUCUUUCCUCCCUUUAAUAAAAUUACUUCUGAUGGCA